UACGGAGGGGGCUAGCGUUGUUCGGAAUCAUUGGGCGUAAAGGGCGCGUAGGCGGCCGAUCAAGUCGGAGGUGAAAUCCCUCGGCUCAACUGAGGAAUUGCCUUCGAUACUGUUCGGCUUGAGUCCUGGAGAGGGUAGCGGAAUUCCCGGUGUAGCGGUGAAAUGCGUAGAGACCGGGAAGAACACCGGUGGCGAAGGCGGCAUCCUGGACCAACACUGACGCUGAGGAGCGAAAGCCAGGGGAGCAAACGGG
rnacentral:rRNA from 1 species